CGUCCAGGCUGGGCCGGGGAGACAUGGAGGAAGACCUGAUGAAACAGACCCUGAGUUCCCGGUGGGGCUCCGCUGUGUCGGGGCCUCGCCUCCCCAAGUACUUCACAUGCUUCAGCCAAGACUAAUCCCAACCUGAAUUCCCUUUAGAAUGUGGGGAAGUCAUCUUAACUCAUCUGGACUAAUACACAGGCAGGAUCAGAGAAGGAAGCUUCUGCUGUUUGUCAGCACUGAGCCGAGUUCUUAUCUAUUGUUUGAUCCUCAUCAGACCCUCGUGCUGGGUCUUGUCCUUGUUGAAAGAGACACGGCCCAGCUGAAAGACACACAGCCCAGCACCCGGCCACAGCUGCUCACACAGUGACCCUCCAAGAGGGGAGGGUGAGCUUGCAAUGCUGGAGGUCAACCCGGAUCUGGCUGGGGCUCACAUCUGCUCCUCCAGCCUCUUCACACUUGCUGGAAUAAGGGCAGGAGAAAACGCAGCAGAGAGAUCCGAGAAAGCCGUGGCUGGGGAUAAAACGAGAAGGAUGGAAAACACAACUCUCCACUCAAGAAGCCAAAUGAACUAGAAGCAAGACAGGUGCAAAGAGAUCGCUCCUUAGAAACAUCAAACUGGAAGAAACGGAAGGACACCAAAGACCAGCAGACGCUUACAUGCAGCCAAGAGAGAGGACAGGUCAGCUGAAAGGGCAGCACAGGUGGGUGACUCCCCACAGCCGUCUGCCCAGGCGUCCUUAUCAUCACCCUUCCCAGGACUUUUCAGACAAACCAAACACUUAGCAACACCAAGCUCCACCUAAACCUCUAAAGGAGGAACCCCAGGAGGAAGCAGAACGGUUUCAGAAAGUCUAAAAGGCAAGAUGAAAUAACAAAGAAAAUGAUAAACGAGUGAGACUCAACUCUGAAGAGUCAUAUUCAGUGUGCUGAGGGUGCAUGUCUAAGGGUGUCGGAGUGUGGGGAACACAAGGUGAUACAGAAAGAAAGCAAAACCCUUGUUUCUAUUUUGAA